GAGUUUGAUCAUGGCUCAGAUUGAACGCUGGCGGCAGGCCUAACACAUGCAAGUCGAGCGGUAGAGAGAAGCUUGCUUCUCUUGAGAGCGGCGGACAGGUGAGUAAUGCCUAGGAAUCUGCCUGGUAGUGGGGGAUAACGCUCGGAAACGGACGCUAAUACCGCAUACGUCCUACGGGAGAAAGCAGGGGACCUUCGGGCCUUGCGCUAUCAGAUGAGCCUAGGUCGGAUUAGCUAGUUGGUGAGGUAAUGGCUCACCAAGGCGACGAUCCGUAACUGGUCUGAGAGGAUGAUCAGUCACACUGGAACUGAGACACGGUCCAGACUCCUACGGGAGGCAGCAGUGGGGAAUAUUGGACAAUGGGCGAAAGCCUGAUCCAGCCAUGCCGCGUGUGUGAAGAAGGUCUUCGGAUUGUAAAGCACUUUAAGUUGGGAGGAAGGGCAGUAAAUUAAUACUUUGCUGUUUUGACGUUACCGACAGAAUAAGCACCGGCUAACUCUGUGCCAC
rnacentral:rRNA from 1 species